AACGAACGCUGGCGGCAGGCUUAACACAUGCAAGUCGAAGGUGAAGCAGGACUUCGGUCCUGUGGAAACUGGCGCACGGGUGAGUAACGCGUGGGAAUCUACCCCGGGGUGGGGAAUAACCACUGGAAACGGUGGCUAAUACCGCAUACGCCUUGAGAGGGAAAGCUUUAUGCGCCCUGGGAUGAGCCCGCGUCGGAUUAGUUUGUUGGUGGGGUAACGGCCUACCAAGGCUACGAUCCGUAGCUGGUCUGUGAGGAUGAUCAGCCACACUGGGACUGAGACACGGCCCAGACUCCUACGGGAGGCAGCAGUGAGGAAUAUUGGACAAUGGGGGAAACCCUGAUCCAGCCAUGCCGCGUGCGUGAAGAAGGCCUUAGGGUUGUAAAGCGCUUUCAACGGGGAAGAUGAUGACGGUACCCGUAGAAGAAGCCCCGGCUAACUCCGUG
rnacentral:rRNA from 1 species